rnacentral:rRNA from 1 species
UGGGGUAUAUUGCACAAUGGGCGCAAGCCUGAUGCAGCCAUGCCGCGUGUGUGAAGAAGGACUUCGGGUUGUAAAGCACUUUCAGCGGGGAGGAAGGCGAUAAGGUUAAUAACCUUGUCGAUUGACGUUACCCGCAGAAGAAGCACCGGCUAACUCCGUGCCAGCAGCCGCGGUAAUACGGAGGGUGCAAGCGUUAAUCGGAAUUACUGGGCGUAAAGCGCACGCAGGCGGUUUGUUAAGUCAGAUGUGAAAUCCCCGGGCUCAACCUGGGAACUGCAUCUGAUACUUGCAAGCUUGAGUCUCGUAGAGGGGGGUAGAAUUCCAGGUGUAGCGAUGAAAUGCGUAGAGAUCUGGAGGAAUACCGGUGGCGAAGGCGGCCCCCUGGACGAAGACUGACGCUCAGGUGCGAAAGCGUGGGGAGCAAACAGG